rnacentral:rRNA from 1 species
AUUGAACGCUGGCGGCAGGCCUAACACAUGCAAGUCGAACGGUAACAGGAAGCAGCUUGCUGCUUCGCUGACGAGUGGCGGACGGGUGAGUAAUGUCUGGGAAACUGCCUGAUGGAGGGGGAUAACUACUGGAAACGGUAGCUAAUACCGCAUAACGUCGCAAGACCAAAGAGGGGGACCUUAGGGCCUCUCGCCAUCGGAUGUGCCCAGAUGGGAUUAGCUAGUAGGUGGGGUAACGGCUCACCUAGGCGACGAUCCCUAGCUGGUCUGAGAGGAUGACCAGCCACACUGGAACUGAGACACGGUCCAGACUCCUACGGGAGGCAGCAGUGGGGAAUAUUGCACAAUGGGCGCAAGCCUGAUGCAGCCAUGCCGCGUGUAUGAAGAAGGCCUUCGGGUUGUAAAGCACUUUCAGCGGGGAGGAAGGGAGUAAAGUUAAUACCUUUGCUCAUUGACGUUACCCGCAGAAGAAGCACCGGCUAACUCCGUG